GACAGAGGUGCCAAGCGUUAGGCGGAAUCACUGGGCUUAAAGCGUGCGUAGACGGUAGCGUAAGUCGGGUGUGAAAGCCCCGGGCUCAACCUGGGAAUUGCAUUCGAGACUGCUCUGCUAGGGUGCGGAAGAGGGGAGCGGAAUUUCCGGUGUAGCGGUGAAAUGCGUAGAUAUCGGAAGGAACACCAGUGGCGAAAGCGGCUCCCUGGUCCAGCACCGACGUUCAGGCACGAAAGCGUGGGGAGCAAACAGG
rnacentral:rRNA from 1 species